rnacentral:rRNA from 2 species
AUUAAUUUGAGAGUUUGAUCCUGGCUCAGGACGAACGCUGGCGGCGUGCCUAAUACAUGCAAGUCGAACGAACUCUGGUAUUGAUUGGUGCUUGCAUCAUGAUUUACAUUUGAGUGAGUGGCGAACUGGUGAGUAACACGUGGGAAACCUGCCCAGAAGCGGGGGAUAACACCUGGAAACAGAUGCUAAUACCGCAUAACAACUUGGACCGCAUGGUCCGAGCUUGAAAGAUGGCUUCGGCUAUCACUUCUGGAUGGUCCCGCGGCGUAUUAGCUAGAUGGUGAGGUAACGGCUCACCAUGGCAAUGAUACGUAGCCGACCUGAGAGGGUAAUCGGCCACAUUGGGACUGAGACACGGCCCAAACUCCUACGGGAGGCAGCAGUAGGGAAUCUUCCACAAUGGACGAAAGUCUGAUGGAGCAACGCCGCGUGAGUGAAGAAGGGUUUCGGCUCGUAAAACUCUGUUGUUAAAGAAGAACAUAUCUGAGAGUAACUGUUCAGGUAUUGACGGUAUUUAACCAGAAAGCCACGGCUAACUACGUGCCAGCAGCCGCGGUAAUACGUAGGUGGCAAGCGUUGUCCGGAUUUAUUGGGCGUAAAGCGAGCGCAGGCGGUUUUUUAAGUCUGAUGUGAAAGCCUUCGGCUCAACCGAAGAAGUGCAUCGGAAACUGGGAAACUUGAGUGCAGAAGAGGACAGUGGAACUCCAUGUGUAGCGGUGAAAUGCGUAGAUAUAUGGAAGAACACCAGUGGCGAAGGCGGCUGUCUGGUCUGUAACUGACGCUGAGGCUCGAAAGUAUGGGUAGCAAACAGGAUUAGAUACCCUGGUAGUCCAUACCGUAAACGAUGAAUGCUAAGUGUUGGAGGGUUUCCGCCCUUCAGUGCUGCAGCUAACGCAUUAAGCAUUCCGCCUGGGGAGUACGGCCGCAAGGCUGAAACUCAAAGGAAUUGACGGGGGCCCGCACAAGCGGUGGAGCAUGUGGUUUAAUUCGAAGCUACGCGAAGAACCUUACCAGGUCUUGACAUACUAUG